rnacentral:rRNA from 2 species
CUAGUUGGCGAGGUAACGGCUCACCAAGGCAACGACGGGUAGCUGGUCUGAGAGGAUGGCCAGCCACAUUGGGACUGAGAUACGGCCCAGACUCCUACGGGAGGCAGCAGUGGGGAAUCUUGCGCAAUGGCCUAACGGCUGACGCAGCGACGCCGCGUGUGGGAUGAAGCUCCUCGGAGUGUAAACCACUGUUGCCCGGGACGAAUAGCUCGAUUAAUCGAGCCUGACGGUACCGGGUGAGGAAGCACCGGCUAACUCCGUGCCAGCAGCCGCGGUAAUACGGGGGGUGCGAGCGUUGUCCGGAAUCACUGGGCGUAAAGGGCGCGUAGGUGGUUUGAUAAGGGUGUGGUGAAAGUCCGGGGCUCAACCCCGGAUCUGCCGUGCCGACUGUCAAACUCGAGGGCUGUAGAGGCAGACGGAAUUCCGGGUGUAGCGGUGGAAUGCGUAGAGAUCCGGAGGAAGACCGGUGGCGAAGGCGGUCUGCUGGGCAGUUUCUGACACUGAUGCGCGACAGCGUGGGGAGCAAACAGGAUUAGAUACCCUGGUAGUCCACGCCGUAAACGAUGGGUACUAGGUGCCUGGGGGAGCGACCCUCUGGGUGCCGGCGCUAACGCAGGAAGUACCCCGCCUGGGGAGUACGACCGCAAGGUUGAAACUCAAAGGAAUUGACG